rnacentral:tRNA from 1 species
AAGCGGGAAGCAAAUAUUGCAAUCAGUUUCGACCUGAUAGUUAGAUAAUCUUCAAUUAUCCCCGCUUU